rnacentral:rRNA from 1 species
AAUGAACGCUGGCGGCGUGCCUAACACAUGCAAGUCGGAUGUGCCGCAAGGUGCAUGGCAGACGGGUGAGUAACGCGUGGGGAAUCUACCUUUUUGUGGGGAAUAACGUUCCGAAAGGAAUGGUAAUACCGCAUGUGAUCAUCGGCUGGGAUGCUGAUGAUGAAAGCUGGGGACCGCAAGGCCUAGCGCAAGAAGAGGAUCCUGCGUCUGAUUAGCUAGUUGGCGGGGUAAUGGCCCACCAAGGCGACGAUCAGUAGCCGGCCUGAGAGGGUGAUCGGCCACACUGGAACUGAGACACGGUCCAGACUCCUACGGGAGGCAGCAGUGGGGAAUUUUGCGCAAUGGACGAAAGUCUGACGCAGCAACGCCGCGUGGGUGAUGAAGGUCUUCGGAUCGUAAAACCCUGUCGUCAGGGACGAAGGUAAUGUGCCUAAUACGCAUGUUGCUUGACGGUACCUGGAGAGGAAGCCCCGGCUAACUCCGUGCCAGCAGCCGCGGUAAUAC